CCUACGGGGGGCUGCAGUGAGGAAUAUUGCACAAUGGGCGCAAGCCUGAUGCAGCGACGCCGCGUGAGUGAUGAAGGCCUUCGGGUCGUAAAGCUCUUUUCUAGGUGACGAGAAUGGACGGUAGCCUAGGAAUAAGUGUCGGCUAACUACGUGCCAGCAGCCGCGGUAAAACGUAGGACACAAGCGUUAUCCGGAGUUACUGGGCGUAAAGGGCGUGUAGGCGGAUUGGUAAGUCUAUUCUGAAAGCUCCUGGCUAAACUGGGAGAGGCGAAUGG
rnacentral:rRNA from 1 species